rnacentral:rRNA from 1 species
AGCGGUAGGGAAACGCCCGGUACCAUUCCGAACCCGGAAGCUAAGCCUACCAGCGCCGAUGGUACUGCACCCGAGGGGGUGUGGGAGAGUAGGACACCGCCGUCA